CCCUUAGAUGUCCUGGGCUGCACGUGCGCUACACUGACACGUUCAACGAGUUUUGCCUGCUCCGAUGGGACUGGGUAAUCUUAUGAAAGCGUGUCGUGAUGGGGAUAGAUUAUUGCAAUUAUUAAUCUUCAACGAGGAAUUCCUAGUAAGUACAAGUCAUCAGCUUGUGCUGAUUACGUCCCUGCCCUUUGUACACACCGCCCGUCGCUCCUACCGAUUGGGUGAUCCGGUGAAUAACUCGGACUGCAGCUAUUCGGGAGACCGUUAGCUUGUGGAAAGUUUAGUAAAUCUUAUCACUUAGAGGAAGGAGAAGUCGUAACA
rnacentral:rRNA from 1 species